rnacentral:rRNA from 1 species
UUUUCCGAGGAUUUGAUCCUGGUCCAGGAUGAACGCUGGCGGCGUGGAUAAGGCAUGCAAGUCGAGCGGACCUUACUUUGAUCUUGGUUUGAAGCACCGAGAGUAGCAAUACAAUUUGUGCGGAUGGCCGAGGGAUUUGUUUGGUUAGCGGCGAACGAGUUAGUAACACCUUGGUUACGUACCCUGAAGUCGGGUAUAGCCCACCGAAAGGUGGGGUAAUCCCCGAUGGUCUCGCAAGAGUAAACCCGCAAGGGGCUUCAGGAUCGACCUAGGUCCGAUCAGCUAGUUGGUAGGGUAACGGCCUACCAAGGCUAUGACCGGUAGGGGAGGUGAGAGCCUGACCCCCAACGACGAGACUGAGACACGGCUCGUACUCCUACGGGAGGCAGCAGUCGAGAAUAUACCCUGCGGAAAGAGGUUGGUAACUACGUGCCAGCACCCGCGGUAAUACGUAGACCUCAAGCGUUAUCCGGAUUUAUUGGGCGUAAAGCGCGUGUAGGGGGCCCGGCGCGUCUUCCGUUAAAGCCCACCGCCCAACGGUGGAAGUGCGGAGGAUACGGCCGGACUAGAGGAAGUUAGAGGUGCAUGGAACGCACGGUGUAGGGGUGAAAUCCGUUGAUAUCGUGCGGAACACCAAAGGCGAAGGCAGUGCACUGGGACUCUCCUGACCCUGAGACGCGAAAGCGUGGGGAGCAAAAAGGAUUAGAUACCCUUGUAGUCCACGCCCUAAACGAUGCCUGCUUGCUGUUUCGAGUAUCGACCCUCGGGGUGGCGUAGCUAACGCGUUAAGCAGGCCGCCUGGGAAGUACGGCCGCAAGGCUAAAACUCAAAGGAAUAGACGGGGACUCGCACAAGCGGUGGAGCAUGAGGUUUAGGGGUAACGAACGCAACCCCUAUCCGGUGUUAUCUGUGUCACCGGAAACUGCCCCCGCUAAAGGGUAGAAUCCAGUAUCUAGAAACUAGAAUUUUGAUCCGUGCCGUUCACUGGAUUGUAAAUUCCGGAUUCUAGUUUCUUGGAUUGUACUUUUCAGCGGGGGAGGAAGGAGGGGAUGACGUCAAAUCCGCAUGGCCCUUUGAUACCCUGGGCUACACUCAUGCUACAAUGGCCGAGACAAUGGGUUGCCAAGCCGUAAGGCGGAGCUAAUCCCAUCAAACUCGGUCCCAGUUCGGAUUGGGGGCUGCAACUCGUCCCCAUGAAGUUGGAAUCGCUAGUAAUCGCGUAUCAGCCACGACGCGGUGAAUACGUUCUCGAGUCCUGUACUCACUGCCCGUCAAGCCAAGGGAGCCGGGAAGAGGUGAAGAUCGCUUCGGCGGUUCAGCCUUAGCUCGGUAACAUGGGCUAAGUCGUAACAAGGCACGCGUAGCGGAAGCUGUGCGUGGAUCAAUUAAAUC